GACGAACGCUGGCGGCGUGCUUAACACAUGCAAGUCGAACGGACAGUCCCUGCUUUUGUGGGGUGCUCGAGUGGCGAACGGGUGAGUAACACGUGAGUAACCUGCCCUUGACUUUGGGAUAACUUCAGGAAACUUGGGCUCAUACCGGAUAGGAGCUCCUGCUGCAUGGUGGGGGUUGGAAAGUUUCGGCGGUUGGGGAUGGACUCGCGGCUUCUCAGCUUGUUGGUGGGGUAGUGGCUUACCAAGGCUUUGACGGGUAGCCGGCCUGAGAGGGUGACCGGCCACAUCGGGUUUGGGAUGAGGCACAGACUCCAACCGGAGGCAGGGGUGGGGAAGGUAGCAUAGCGGGAGGAGGGCAGACGUAGCAAAGCCGUGUGGGGUAUAAGGGGCUGGGGGUUGGAUACCGCUAUUGCUUCAGAGGAAGCGUGAGUGACGGUAACCGGAAAAGAAGCCCCGGCUAACUACGUG
rnacentral:rRNA from 1 species